GUGGGGUCGCUGCUCAGUGGGAGCAUCCCUUCGGAUGAAGUAAUGCAGGAGCAACACCCCCACCCCAAAAUGUGAGGGCGCGCGCGGCCUAGUGUCUCCUCUGGAAUCUGCACUGGUGGGAGCGCUCGCUCCCGGGCGUGACGCCACUGCUGGCUUCCAGAGUUCCAGAGCAUGAAAGAUGGAGCAGCACCUGCCUGGUCUGCACAAGGCCAGCAGGGCUGCAGGCCGUUCUACGCCCCUGUUUGCUCCAAAAGGCCUCAGUCUGAGGAACCUCAGGCCGUCCACUGCCGACAUGAUAAGCUGGUCAAAGAGCGAUGCCGAGAGGCACGGACAGGGUGAGAGCUGAGAAGUUCAUCCGCGAGGAGGUGGUUUACGUUUUCCUGCAAGGGGUUUCUGCACGCCCUGGCCUCCAGCGACACGGCGGUUGCGAUUAAAACGGCAAAAUAGGCACCCUGACCUCCCCCUCCAAGAGCGUCCAGCAAAGCAGAAAAUUUCCUGACGUAUACAUCCGGGACAAUAUGAAACCGUCCUUUUGAUUAAAUGUUGCUUGCAGUGAGGAGCAGCCACCAGCACUCCCAGAUGUGAAGGCAGAACAUCCUCAGUUUCUCAGCAAGGACACCUGCAUUCCCAGCUUUUAGAUAUACACACACCAUGUGAUUGUGUGUGUGCCAAGAGAAAGAGAACCACAUAUGCACGUCAUCUUUCACCCUUUCACUGUUAAUACCUGUCACAAUUCUACCUGGUUAAUUGUGGUUUGAAAACACACACACACACACACACACUCCCCACCCAGAGCAGAACGCGAGUGGAUCCAGUCUAGUCAGGUUACAUUUGUAAUUCUCCCCUCCUCCCUUUCCAAUUUCUUUGAUGAUUUUUCCCAUAAGUGUAUAAGCUGCUGGGACUUAGUAGAAGUGAGCCGCUCCUCCUAAAUGUGAUUCGGACCAUAUGCUUUCUACAUUCAUUCCCGCUCCAGGCUUUUCUUCUCUGCACUAACUGCUAACACGUUAUAGUCACCUUGAAAUUUCCUCUGCUAUUUUCCAAUUAAAAGCUUAAUAGCCCUGGAAACGGAGUUCAUGUGGUGAAGUUUACCAUAGCCCCUUGUUCUGAAAGGCUUUCUGCUGGGAUCCCAUUAUGUGCUUGAAUAAACCCUUUCUGCAAACAGAAAUGGGACUUGGGGUUGUCAGGUGUUGGGUUACAAUAGACUUUGAGGCAGGGGACAUUUUACCAACAUAAAUACAAACCUGUCCCUAUAGGGAGAUGUUGUCAAAUACUGGGAUAUGGAAAACAUUCCCAUCA
ensembl:lncRNA